GAUAAGAAGCUAUGAUCAUAUGCUAGACACGUGGGUGUCUUCUGUUCUGUUAGGGCGGACGCGCUCUAUAUGUUCUGAAAAGGUUGGCGACCUAAGGCCAUUCUGAAUCUGUUCUGAAAACUUAUCUGCUUCUCUUUCUCCUAAGUGUAUGCGAGCCCUAUGGAAAAUAUCUGUAAUACAAUUAAACGAAUGAGAUCAUAUUAUUUUAGUAAACAUUACUUUGGAAAUUACUGAUUAUGUUAUCAAAUGAAUUUUCAAAGCAUGAUAUUUCGAUACAUAGUAUUAAAAAUAAAGAGUAUAUGUAUUGGUAUAAUGUUUAAGUAAUGAAUUUAUGAUUUGAAAGAAUUAAAUUAUUUAUGUUAAUAAUUAUAAGUUUAUUUGAAGGAACCAAAGUAUUUAUGAUGAUAAAAUGUCUUAAGUAAAGGAUUUAUGGUAUAAAGAAUUAAAUUCUUUAUGUUAUUAAUUACUAGUAUAUGUGCUAUUUGUUUUGCUAUAAAUGGAAAUGUAUGUUGAAUUUUAAUGCAUUUAUGAUUGUAAAUAAUUUUAUGAAAUUUGUUUUUAAGUAAGUUGUCAUCGCAACUUUGGUAAGUAUGUGAAUUAUGAGCACCACUGAGUUUUAUACUCAGCGCGUCGAUUUUUAUCACGCGUAGGUUGAAGAUCGUGGUUGCUACUUGAAGAUUUGAAGAGUAAUAUCAAAGCAGAAGUGACUAAUU
rnacentral:lncRNA from 1 species